GACGAACGCUGGCGGCGUGCCUAAUACAUGCAAGUUGAGCGCUGAAGGUUGGUACUUGUCCCAACUGGAUGAGCAGCGAACGGGUGAGUAACGCGUGGGGAAUCUGCCUUUGAGCGGGGGACAACAUUUGGAAACGAAUGCUAAUACCGCAUAAAAACUUUAAACACAAGUUUUAAGUUUGAAAGAUGCAAUUGCAUCACUCAAAGAUGAUCCCGCGUUGUAUUAGCUAGUUGGUGAGGUAAAGGCUCACCAAGGCGAUGAUACAUAGCCGACCUGAGAGGGGGAUCGGCCACAUUGGGACUGGGACACGGCCCAAACUCCUACGGGAGGCAGCAGUAGGGAAUCUUCGGCAAUGGACGAAAGUCUGACCGAGCAACGCCGCGGGAGUGAAGAAGGGUUUCGGAUCGUAAAACUCUGUUGGUAGAGAAGAACGUUGGUGAGAGUGGAAAGCUCAUCAAGUGACGGUAACUACCCAGAAAGGGACGGCUAACUACGUG
rnacentral:rRNA from 1 species